ACUGGUUACAUCAAAAUCUGCCCAACAUCUGCAGAUUUUACAGCUCUAGACACUGCCACCGUUCCAGCUGCUCCUGUUGCUGGUUCUGACCCCUCCUGACCAUCCGGAGCUGUGUCGCAAGAACGAGGGAGAAAGCUGCAAGACAUGGUUCUCCUAGCUCUAAGUAGCAUUGCCUGUGAUCCCCAGUAGAAGGUUAACAACACCACUACCUGCUGCUAAGUGCUGCAGAGUGAGGAACAGCAGCCAGUUCUCUGCUUCUGGCUUAGCUUCCUCCAGCUCAUCCUUAGAAAAGGAUCUGCCCUGCCUGCUUGCUCAUGAAGUCUGACCCCAACUAUUGGACCCACCUCCAGAAGCUUUUGGAUGGAGUGCAACAGUAACACAGCAACAGUAACACUCAACUCACUCCUACCUCCCCCCACAGCAGUCUCUUAAAGGCCCUUAUUAAGCACACUGAAAUACUGAAGAAGAAACCUGACUAAUGUAAACAUCACUUGAGCUUUUCUGAAAGAUGUGAACGGGGAGCAGCAGCUAACGGAACUUACUGCUCAUUCAGAAAGAAUAAAUCUGCGAGCCAGAUAAGAGGAAGCAAGAGCAAAAUUAGGAAAGUAUCAGCUGCACCAGCGGUGAGUGCAGGGCGCACCACCCCGCCCAGGACAUCCUCCUGCACCCGGGCACUCUGCAGGUUGACCCGUGCCCAAGCAGCAGCACCUGGGGAUACUAUGAGUCCUGCACUGCACCCUCAACCUCUGGGUGCAAGAAGACCUGCAGCUCCGGUGGGAGAUGCUUGCCAGGGCCAUGCCAUCUGCGAUCACCUGCAGACCCUGGUACAGAGAUUGCUGCCUCCUGCCACUCCAGCCCCUGCUGCCUCCCCAGCUACCACUCUUCCUCCACAUCCUCCCCUGGAGACACUGAGGUCCCCGCACCCGUAGUGGUGGGAGACAGGUGGGCCAGCAAGACCCUGAGCUUCUCCUCCUCCUUCCUCCUCUUGCCUCCCCCUUCCAGCUCCCUCCUCCCAGG